rnacentral:rRNA from 1 species
CCCUUAGAUGUCCUGGGCCGCACGCGCGUUACACUGAUGCAUUCAACGAGCUUAUAACCUUGGCCGAGAGGCCUGGGCAAUCUUGUUAACGUGCAUCGUGAUAGGGAUAGAUUAUUGAAAUUAUUAAUCUUGAACGAGGAAUUCCUAGUAAACGCAGAUCAUCAAUCUGCAUUGAUUACGUCCCUGCCCUUUGUACACACCGCCGUCGCACCUACCGAUUGGAUGGUCCGGUGAAGCCUCGGGAUUGUGGUUCUUGCCGCUUUAUUGUGGCGUGACCGCGAGAACUUGUCUAAACCUUAUCAUCUAGAGGAAGGUGAAGUCGUAACA